UCCGCCGCGGCGCCUACGGGGGCCGGGAGGAGCCACAUUGCCCCUGCCGAGCGCCGCUUCCGGGGCCGCUCCUGCCCGCCAGCGGGAAGCCGGCACCGGCCGCGCCGCUGAGCCCUGGAGCUCCCGGUGAUGGGAUCAUGUCCCCGCCGCCAGCGCCGCAGGACUUAAAGCCCAAAGGCCGCGGUCCCUGCGGUUCCAGCCCCUUGCUCCCUCGGCGGGAGCCCUCCACACCGCUGCUCGCUGAGGGUGCAGGAGCCGAGGCCCAGAGGGGUUAAACAUCGCCCAGCAGGGCGCGGGUGCGCACAGCCCCUUCCCGGGGCGCUUCGACGGGGCGGGCGGGCUCCCGAGCCGAGCGUGGGCCCCAGGGACAGCGCAGCCACCGCAGACCGCCGCAGGAAAGCGAAAGGGAGGUGGAAGCGACCGAGCAAAGGUCACGUACGCGAAGGCAACGAGACAGCUGCUGCUGACCUUUAAAACCAACCCAAGCGGGCUGCAGGGUGAGGCAGAUUUCGUCAGCAGAAGCAAAUUGACAUCAGUGAAGAACUGGAGACACAUUUCAACAGCAGCCAGCUCACAAAAACCAGAUGUGAACAGGAAUGACUUAAACCAAACCAGUUGUAUUCCAGGGAAUGAGCCAACUCAACAUAUAUGUGGUGAGGAACAGCCUCACCUAAGAGCUUGCCUCUGCUCUUGAAGGCAGGAGAACUCCCACCAAGGCUCCUCAACGUAGAAGUAAAAUCCAGCACAAAUGAGUUAACAGAGUUAACAUCACUAAGCCUAGAAAUGUUUUUGGUAUUGUGUCCCCUCCUCCCUUCCCCUGGACAGGAGAGCCCAGUGCUGGGGACUGCAGACAACAACCAGUCCCAAACCUUAAAGCAGUUACAGUUAAUAGAAACCCUUUGCUUUCUGUGCUGAGCCAGGCUGCCUUAGAAAGCAUCUGAACAAUUAGGAAUAGUAUCUUACAAAGUUACUGAGGGAAGGAAAAGAUAAACCAGGAUCUUUUUUGGACUCUGAGGUACGUGAACAGCAAUUGGGUUGUAUCAGUCUCCAGACUCUGGAAUGCCACCAGAGUUAAACAGUCAAAACCGAAUCCAACCUGUGUGAACCACCAACGCACUUGGAAGACAUCUUGGGCAUCCCCAAGAGCCAGCUGCCUGCUGGGCCAGCUGGGCUCUGGUUCCCCCACGCCGCUCUGACGGGGUCAGGAAUCCCUCAGCUGAUCUGAACUAAGCCAAAAACCUUUGAGACAACUGAGAUCUGGAUAAAGAAUUCACAAACUGGUUUGUGCAAAUUUUUUUUUGUUUUUAUUUCCACAUUUAUAUCACAAUGUGUCCACUUAAUGGACCAAAUAGCAAAGUUGCUCCCUUCUGCAUCCCAAGAACACAGAAGUCUAGGUACUGUACAUUCACUAAGGCUCUUUGUUUUUGCAAGUUGCGUUUAUGAUGGAUAUCCAUAAGGCAAACAAUAUCUAAAGGAAUGGUAACAAGUAUACUUCCAGCAUACAAACAGGCUUCCUUUUUCCCUCUCACAGUACAGUUACAAACUUGUAGCACCCUCGUUACAUUUAGAUUCUAGAAAAGGUGAUUUUUUUUUUUUCUUGCCUUUUUUUUGUGUGUGUGUGGUUUUUGGGGUUGGGUUUUUUUUUGUUUGGUUGGUUUUGGUCUGUUUUUUUUUCCUUUUUUUUUUCUCUUGUGUUUUGUUGUUUGUUUGUUUUUUUUUU